rnacentral:lncRNA from 1 species
AUUUGAAAAGAUCUGAAGAUACGCCCCUUGGAUGCCUGCAGAGAAGCUCUGGGGCUUCAGUCAAUGACUCAGGGUAGCCACCGAACAUGAUGCUCGGGCAGUGGGUGCCACCUGGACUCCACUCUCCCCUCUCUCUGGGAUCAUAGAGUCCAAGGUGUUCUGUGGCCUCUCGGCCAAUCCCAGCAGCUCAGCGUGCAGAAGACCGAGGAGCCAUUGGAAUUCAACACAACACGAAAUAAUCAACAAAUUCGGGGAAUGUUAAUCUGACCAUCACCAGUUACAAAUGAUGUUUCAUGCUACCUUCUAUUCCUGCCUUCAUAAAUCAAGCUCUAAAUCUCCAGGAAAAAAUGUGCUCAGGAUGGCCAGAGAAAUGUCCUUCCAACUGUGCAUGGAAAGGUAUGAUUUUGUGCAGCAGGUGAAGGACUGGUUAGAGUAAGUGUGUGCUGAGCUUUUGUGUUUGAAAGCGAGCCUGUGCACUUCUAACGAUUGGAAGGUUUCCUUGCCUUCUCCGAUCUUACACACAGCAAGGACAGCAAAGCCUUCCAGACCUGCCUGUGACAUGCACUGCACAUUCUAAAGAUGCCUAUGCAAUGGAAAACACCACUGUCUGCUCCAGCACAGCUGCCAUUCUUCCAUCUUAUCGACCUUAAUGCAACAACUCCUCACAGGCAGAGAUUUUAAAAUGUGUUCUUGGCAGAAGAGAGACUCAAAGAUGGGACAAAUGUGUCAUUUAAAUGCCUGGAAAAGAAAAAGAGAACAUAUAUCCCCCUACCUUUUGAUUUCCAACAGUCUACUGAGAGGCCAAGAUUAUUUGCAGGGAAAGAAAAGGGGAAUGCCAUCCCCACCCUCUCGCAGCUACGUGCCAGUUCCAGAGCACCUGUUCCCCUCUACUUUGAAAAGGUCAAAAUGUUUUGCCAGUAACUCCCAAAUCAUCUACAGCCAAGGAGAAAAGUGUUUCAAGACAGAGGUGCUCAAUGGUAUCAAAUACUGCCAACAGACCAAGUAAUACAUGCAUUGAAGUGUCUACUGGAUCUAGCUAUAGGAUUCCACAGCUGUUUUAUAGUAACUCAGAGUUUGAAGAGAAAUUACUCCUGCAGUACCAGUUUCCAAAAUGCUUUGUAGCAUCUUCUCAAAAAACAAAUGGGAAGAAGCCAAUCAGAAAUAAGGGAUGGGGGAUACAAGUUACCAAAGUAGUGGCGAGAAAAGGAAUUUUUAAUUUAGGACACUUAGGCCAUACUGAAGCAAGGUGACAAAAUGAAUAGCUACAAUGUCUCGUGAAUCUUGGGUUUCCAUUCACCCUGGUAUUCAAGAGAAAUUCUUGCAUCAUGGAAGUUGCAGUUGGAUAGGACUUUCUCAGCUGAACACUGUCAUCUGCCAGAGCUUCAGGCAAGAACCCAGAACAGAUGAAACCCCAGACAUGACAAAAUAAGCCAAAGAAUACCAGGCCAAGGUGUGAAAGGCCAGAUGAGAACAAGCAGCGUACACGAUUCUGUUGCCAACAGAUCUCCCCUAACAGUGUCGUGCACCAAAUUUCCACAGUGAAUGUCAGGAAAAAAUGGCAAUUGAGGUGGGUGGUCAAAAGAGAAGCACAGUCUAUGAUGAAGUCACCCCAGAGAAGUCCUUUUUCCGUUUUCUCCUGAGAAAUUACCAGAAGAAAUUAAAAUCCUUUUGAGUAUUGCGAUGAAGAAACUGAGGCAGACAGAGGUGAAGAAACUUGCACAAGGUCAAAGAACAGAGAGUCACAUUAGCAGCUGGAUAUUCAGCUGUGAAGCUCAAGGAAGAAGUCAGGGCUGGAGAUAUAUGAAUGAGAACCAUCUGCAUAAAGAUGAUCUUUAAAAUCAUGGAGCUGGAUGAAAUCUCUCUCCACUCCUCCCCACAGGGGAAUGGAGCAAUGCCCAGGGCGCCCUGGGGCACCUCAACCUGCAGAGGCCAGUCAAGCUGGCAAGGAGUAACAGAAGACUGAUGAAGAAUGGCCAGCAAGAGAGGAGGGAAACCUGGAGGGCUUGAUGUCUCUACAAUGAAGAGAGCACUUCAUGGAGGAGGAAGUUGUCCCUAGGUUGAAUGCAGCUGAGGGACUAAUUAAGAUCACAGCUAAAUGGCCACUGGAUUUACCCAGAUGGAGAAGAAGAAGAAAAGCACCUACCUGGCAUGGAUGCCAUUCUUUAAGUACUUACAAUCCAUUCUCCCCUUACCCCGACUCCUACCUUUCUCCUUGCUGACAGAACAGGCCUCCCAUUACAAAGGCUGAGAAUACCAGAAACCCAAUGUCCCCUCCCUAAGGGAUCAGGCAUGGAAAAGGGAUUCCUCCCCUAAAAAACAGUCCCAUGGAAGAAGAUGGACAUGGUCCCCACGUGACGGCUGGAGUUGCUGUGAGCAUGAGGUGCGCCUUAUCAACAUGAUGAAGAUGGCAGACGGUGUACCAGGGUGCUGGCUGUAGUCCGUUUUGUGCUGUUAUAACAGAAUCACACAGACUGAGUAAUUGACAAAGAACAGAGAUUCAUUUCUCAGAGUUCUGGAGGCUGGGAAUUUCAAGCUCAAAACACCAACAUCCGUGUGAGCCUUCUUACGGUGUCCUCACAUGGCAGACAGCAGAAGAGCAAGAGAAGACAAACAUUGGGUCCUCACAUGGCAGAAGAGCGAGAAAAGGAGUGAAUCUGCCCCCACAAGCCCUUUUUACGGUGGCAUUGAUCCGCUCAUGACAUCAGAGCCCUCAUGACCUCACCACCUCCCAUUCAUUCUCACCUCCCCAGAGUCACAUUGAGGAGUAGGUUUCCAGCACAUGAAUUGUGGGGGACACAUUCAGACCAUAGAGGCUCUGAAUUCACCCUGGGCCUUCUCUGACCUCUUGAACCAUAACUAC